rnacentral:rRNA from 1 species
AACGAACGCUGGCGGCAGGCCUAAAACAUGCAAGUCGAACGAACCUUCGGGUUAGUGGCGCACGGGUGCGUAACGCGUGGGAAUAUGCCUCUUGGUGCGGAACAACGUCUGGAAACGGACGCUAAUACCGCAUAAUAUCUACGGAUCAAAGAUUUAUCGCCUUUAGAGCGGCCCGCGUCUGAUUAGCUAGUUGGUGAGGU